CGGGGGGAGCAAGCGUUGUUCGGAUUUACUGGGCGUAAAGGGCGCGUAGGCGGCCAGCGCAAGUCAGUUGUGAAAUCUCCGGGCUUAACUCGGAAAGGUCAACUGAUACUGCGCGGCUAGAGUGCAGAAGGGGCAACUGGAAUUCUCGGUGUAGCGGUGAAAUGCGUAGAUAUCGAGAGGAACACCUGCGGCGAAGGCGGGUUGCUGGGCUGACACUGACGCUGAUGCGCGAAAGCCAGGGGAGCGAACGGGAUUAGAUACCCCGGUAGUCCUGGCCUUAAACGAUGGAUGCUUGGUGUCUGGAGUUUUAUAGUCUCCGGGUGCCGUGGCUAACGCGUUAAGCAUCCCGCCUGGGGAGUACGGUCGCAAGACUG
rnacentral:rRNA from 1 species